CCUGAGUACGACGGAGCACGUGAAAUUCCGUCGGAAUCUGGGAGGACCAUCUCCUAAGGCUAAAUACUCUCUAGUGACCGAUAGUGAACCAGUACCGUGAGGGAAAGGUGAAAAGUACCCCGGAAGGGGAGUGAAAGAGAACUUGAAACCGUGUGCUUACAAGUAGUCAGAGCCCGUUAAUGGGUGAUGGCGUGCCUUUUGUAGAAUGAACCGGCGAGUUACGAUCUGAUGCAAGGUUAAGCAGAAAAUGUGGAGCCGUAGCGAAAGCGAGUCUGAAUAGGGCGAAUGAGUAUUUGGUCGUAGACCCGAAACCAGGUGAUCUACCCUUGGUCAGGUUGAAGUUCAGGUAACACUGAAUGGAGGACCGAACCGACUUACGUUGAAAAGUGAGCGGAUGAACUGAGGGUAGCGGAGAAAUUCCAAUCGAACUUGGAGAUAGCUGGUUCUCUCCGAAAUAGCUUUAGGGCUAGCCUCAAGUGAUGAUUAUUGGAGGUAGAGCACUGUUUGGACGAGGGGCCCCUCUCGGGUUACCGAAUUCAGACAAACUCCGAAUGCCAAAUAAUUUAACUUGGGAGUCAGAAUGUGGGUGAUAAGGUCCAUAUUCGAAAGGGAAACAGCCCAGACCACCAGCUAAGGUCCCAAAAUAUAUGUUAAGUGGAAAAGGAUGUGGCGUUGCCCAGACAACUAGGAUGUUGGCUUAGAAGCAGCCAUCAUUUAAAGAGUGCGUAAUAGCUCACUAGUCGAGUGACACUGCGCCGAAAAUGUACCGGGGCUAAACAUAUUACCGAAGCUGUGGAUUGUCCUUUGGACAAUGGUAGGAGAGCGUUCUAAGGGCGUUGAAGCAUGAUCGCAAGGACAUGUGGAGCGCUUAGAAGUGAGAAUGCCGGUGUGAGUAGCGAAAGACGGGUGAGAAUCCCGUCCACCGAUUGACUAAGGUUUCCAGAGGAAGGCUCGUCCGCUCUGGGUUAGUCGGGUCCUAAGCUGAGGCCGACAGGCGUAGGCGAUGGAUAACAGGUUGAUAUUCCUGUACCACCAUUAUUCGUUUUAAGCGAUGGGGGGACGCAGUAGGAUAGGCGAAGCGUGCUGUUGGAGUGCACGUCCAAGCAGUGAGAUUGAGUGUUAGGCAAAUCCGGCACUCUUAAGAUUGAGCUGUGAUGGGGAGAGGAACUUGUUCCUCGAGUCGUUGAUUUCACACUGCCGAGAAAAGCCUCUAGCUAGAAUAACGGUGCCCGUACCGCAAACCGACACAGGUAGUCAAGAUGAGAAUUCUAAGGUGAGCGAGCGAACUCUCGUUAAGGAACUCGGCAAAAUGACCCCGUAACUUCGGGAGAAGGGGUGCUCUUUGAGGUUCACGCUUCGAAGAGCCGCAGUGAAUAGGCCCAAGCGACUGUUUAUCAAAAACACAGGUCUCUGCUAAACCGUAAGGUGACGUAUAGGGGCUGACGCCUGCCCGGUGCUGGAAGGUUAAGAGGAGUGGUUAGCGCAAGCGAAGCUACGAAUCGAAGCCCCAGUAAACGGCGGCCGUAACUAUAACGGUCCUAAGGUAGCGAAAUUCCUUGUCGGGUAAGUUCCGACCCGCACGAAAGGCGUAACGAUUUGGGCACUGUCUCAACGAGAGACUCGGUGAAAUCAUAGUACCGGUGAAGAUGCCGGUUACCCGCGACAGGACGGAAAGACCCCGUGGAGCUUUACUGUAGCCUGAUAUUGAAAUUCGGUACAGUUUGUACAGGAUAGGUAGGAGCCUUAGAAGCGUGAGCGCUAGCUUACGUGGAGGCAUUGGUGGGAUACUACCCUAAUUGUAUUGGAUUUCUAACCCGCAGCACUUAUCGUGCUGGGAGACAGUGUCAGGCGGGCAGUUUGACUGGGGCGGUCGCCUCCUAAAGAGUAACGGAGGCGCUCAAAGGUUCCCUCAGAAUGGUUGGAAAUCAUUCAUAGAGUGUAAAGGCAUAAGGGAGCUUGACUGCGAGACCUACAAGUCGAGCAGGGUCGAAAGACGGACUUAGUGAUCCGGUGGUUCCGCAUGGAAGGGCCAUCGCUCAACGGAUAAAAGCUACCCCGGGGAUAACAGGCUUAUCUCCCCCAAGAGUUCACAUCGACGGGGAGGUUUGGCACCUCGAUGUCGGCUCAUCGCAUCCUGGGGCUGUAGUCGGUCCCAAGGGUUGGGCUGUUCGCCCAUUAAAGCGGUACGCGAGCUGGGUUCAGAACGUCGUGAGACAGUUCGGUCCCUAUCCGUCGUGGGCGUAGGAAAUUUGAGAGGAGCUGUCCUUAGUACGAGAGGACCGGGAUGGACAUACCUCUGGUGUACCAGUU
rnacentral:rRNA from 1 species